rfam:Lactobacillus saerimneri 30a contig00017, whole genome shotgun sequence.
UGGGUGUUAGCCAAACUGGUAAGGCAGUGGACUCUGAAUCCAUAAUGUACUGGUUCGAAUCCAGUACACCCAA